rnacentral:rRNA from 1 species
AAGACAACAGGGAUGCCCUAGUAACGGCGAGUGAAGCGGCAACAGCUCAAAUUUGAAAUCUGGCCCUCGGGUCCGAGUUGUAAUUUGUAGAGGAUGAUUUUGGUUAGGUACCUUCCGAGUUCCUUGGAACAGGACGCCUUAGAGGGUGAGAGCCCCGUACGGUUGGAUGCCGAGCCUCUGUAAAUCUCCUUCGACGAGUCGAGUAGUUUGGGAAUGCUGCUCUAAAUGGGAGGUAAAUUUCUUCUAAAGCUAAAUACCGGCCAGAGACCGAUAGCGCACAAGUAGAGUGAUCGAAAGAUGAAAAGCACUUUGAAAAGAGGGUUAAAUAGUACGUGAAAUUGUUGAAAGGGAAGGGCUUGUGACCAGACCUUUGCCUUGCGGAUCAUCCGGUGUUCUCACCGGUGCACUCCGCUUGGUUGAGGCCAGCAUCAGUUUCGGCGGCGGGAUAAAGACUUCAGGAACGUGACUCCCCCGGGAGUGUUAUAGCCUGCUGUGUAAUACCGCCGCUGGGACUGAGGACCGCGCUUCGGCUAGGAUGCUGGCAUAAUGGUCAUCAGCCACCCGUCUUGAAACACGGACCAAGGAGUCGAACAUUUAUGCGAGUUUUUGGGUGUUAAACCCUCAAGCGUAAUGAAAGUGAACGGAGGUGAGAGCCCUUACGGGUGCAUCAUCGACCGAUCCUGAUGUCUUCGGAUGGAUUUGAGUAAGAGCAUAACUGUUCGGACCCGAAAGAUGGUGAACUAUGCGUGGAUAGGGUGAAGCCAGAGGAAACUCUGGUGGAGGCUCGCAGCGGUUCUGACGUGCAAAUCGAUCGUCAAAUCUGCGCAUGGGGCGAAAGACUAUCG